UACUUGAAUCUUCCCAUUGAUGUUUUUUUAGGACUGAAAUUGAUCAAUAAGAGACUGAUCAAUUUCAGUCCUAAAAAAACAUCAAUGGGAAGAUUCAAGU
rnacentral:pre_miRNA from 1 species